UACGUAGGGGGCAAGCGUUGUCCGGAUUUAUUGGGCGUAAAGAGCGUGUAGGCGGUUUGGUAGGUCCGUUGUGAAAACUCGAGGCUCAACCCUCGAGACGUCGGUUGAAACCGUUUGGCUAGAGUCCGGAAGAGGAGAGUGGAAUUCCCGGUGUAGCGGUGAAAUGCGCAGAUAUCGGGAAGAACACCCGUGGCGAAGGCGGCUCUCUGGGACGGUACUGACGCUGAGACGCGAAAGCGUGGGGAGCGAACAGG
rnacentral:rRNA from 1 species